ACCACUUUAAUAUGAUGGUAUAAGUAGACAUUAUGUAUAUUUAAAUAUGGAAUUUCUUUUGAUAUUUCCAGUUUAAAGUUUUAAACAAUUUAUGAAAAUAAAAUUUAGAUAAUUUAUUAAUUUAGGUUUAUUAGGUGCCAGCAACCGCGGUCAUACCUAAUAUAUUAGUUUACUAAAAUAGUAAUUUCUAACCUCAUUUCGAAAUAUUAUAUUAAGUAGUGAAAUACUAUUAUAUCCACUAUACUCACAAAAUGAAUAAUAAUAAAAUCCAUAGAUAAAACUAGGAUUAGAGACCCUACUAUUAUGGGCUAAAAUAGUUAUUUACUAAGAAGUAAUACUUCAAUUUCAAACUUAAAUGUUAUGGCGGCUAACUAAAACAAUUAGGGGAACUUACCAUGUAAUUGAUAGCCACCAAGCUUAAUCCAACUUACUAUAAUAAUAUGUAUACCGUUGUCUUCAUGAACCCCCCAAAGGGGUCUAUAAUCAUAGCCUAUUUAAUGACAAAUCAAGGUGCAGUCUAUUAGUAAGCAUUAAGGUGAGUUACAAUAAACUUUAUUUCCGGAAUGAAACAUGAAAUAUUUCAGGAAGAUGGACUUAAAAGUACUUUAAAAAAAUAUUUAUAUUAAAAGAAUAUGUAUUGGUUAGUGUA
rnacentral:rRNA from 1 species